CAAGAUGGAUGGGGUGGGGGUAGCAUUCAGUGGAAGGUGUCAUUAGGGAUCAGCUUUUCAUGUUGGGGGAUGAUGAGAGGGUGUCCCCUGCUUGGGUCUGUGCCAUGUUGACGUCACUGGCUGGCGGAGAGGCUCUCCAGAUCCUCCAACCAAUCAGCGCGCGGCUUGCAUCCGCCUCUGAAUUAUUAUUGUGAACUGUUAAACAUCCUUCAUCAGACAGCCAAGGAGAGGCCAACAGAGCAGGCAGCCAUUAUCCUACCAUGGAAUGAAAUGGCCAACUUUAAAUGUACAUACUGGGUGUUUUUCUUUUGUUCCCAAGAAGGGACUCUUUUUAAUUGAAUCCACCAUUAACAGGAUACCAGUGUGUGUCUCUUUUAUAUUUGCCAUUUUAAUGGAUUUUUGGAAGAAGGAGGAUUAAAAAUACAUAAUUAACAAAAAUGCUUGGAUUUUCUCCUUAUCAUUUGGAGUCCAUCUUUGUCAAAUGUAGAUCAAGGCACACCCUAUGUCAGAACUAAGUAAAUACAUUUCUCUUUUUUUGGUGGUCCAAGAUCUACCAUGUAUAAGUUUCUCUGAUAUUUAUGAACAAAUAAAUUUGAGAUAUUGUGUUUUUGCUCAUACCCUG